rnacentral:rRNA from 1 species
AUUGAACGCUGGCGGCAUGCCUUACACAUGCAAGUCGAACGGUAACGGGCCUUCGGGUGCCGACGAGUGGCGAACGGGUGAGUAAUACAUCGGAACGUGCCCGAUCGUGGGGGAUAACGAGGCGAAAGCUUUGCUAAUACCGAAUACGAUCUACGGAUGAAAGCAGGGGACCGCAAGGCCUUGCGCGGAGGGAGCGGCCGAUGGCAGAUUAGGUAGUUGGUGGGAUAAAAGCUUACCAAGCCGACGAUCUGUAGCUGGUCUGAGAGGAUGAUCAGCCACACUGGGACUGAGACACGGCACAGAAUCCUACGGGAGGCAGCAGUGGGGAAUUUUGGACAAUGGGCGCAAGCCUGAUCCAGCCAUGCCGCGUGCAGGAUGAAGGCCUUCGGGUUGUAAACUGCUUUUGUACGGAACGAAAAGCCUUCUUCUAAUACAGGAGGGUCAUGACGGUACCGUAAGAAUAAGCACCGGCUAACUACGUGCCAGCCGCCGCCGUAA